rnacentral:rRNA from 1 species
AGAGUUUGAUCCUGGCUCAGAACGAACGUUGGCGGCGUGGAUUAGGCAUGCAAGUCGAACGAGAACCGGCCUUGUAGCAAUACCGGGCUGGGGAAAGUGGCGAAAGGGGCAGUAAGGCGUGGGUAACCUACCCUGGGGACCGGGAUAGCCAUCCUAACGGGUGGGUAAUACCGGGCGAUCUGGCUGAGGCGCCUGUCUUGGUCAGCAAAUGAAUUUCGCCCUGGGAGGGGCUCACGUGGUAUUAGCUAGUUGGUAGGGUAACGGCCUACCAAGGCAAAGAUGCCUAGCGGGUGUGAGAGCACGACCCGCGCCACUGGCACUGAGACACUGGCCAGACUCCUACGGGAGGCUGCAGUCGAGGAUCUUCGGCAAUGGGCGCAAGCCUGACCGAGCGACGCCGCGUGCGCGAUGAAGGCCUUCGGGUUGUAAAGCGCUGUCGAGGGGGAGGAAGCUCCGCAAGGGGUUGACCUAUCCCUGGAGGAAGCACGGGCUAAGUUCGUGCCAGCAGCCGCGGUAAGACGAACCGUGCGAACGUUGUUCGGAAUCACUGGGCUUAAAGGGCGCGUAGGCGGUCGAUCACGUCCGGGGUGAAAGCUUUCGGCUUAACCGGAAAAGUGCCUUGGAUACGGAUCGGCUGGAGGGAGGUAGGGGCAGGUGGAACUUCCGGUGGAGCGGUGAAAUGCGUUGAUAUCGGAAGGAACGCCGGUGGCGAAAGCGGCCUGCUGGACCUCUUCUGACGCUGAGGCGCGAAAGCUAGGGGAGCAAACGGGAUUAGAUACCCCCGUAGUCC